rnacentral:lncRNA from 1 species
UUAGUCGUGUGUACAUCAUUGGGAAUGGAGGGAAAUAAAUGACUGGAUGGUCGCUGCUUUUUAAGUUUCAAAUUGACAUUCCAGACAAGCGGUGCCUGAGCCCGUGCCUGUCUUCAGAUCUUCACAGCACAGUUCCUGGGAAGGUGGAGCCACCAGCCUCUCCCUGUCCUGGAGGCUGGAAGUGCAAAAGGAAGGUGUCGGCAAGAUCGUUUUUUUCUGAGAGCUCUCUCCUUGGCUUGCAGAUGGCAGCUUGCUCCUGGCACAGUCUUUUCUCUACUCACGCCCAAAGUUACGGAGGACCCAGCAACCAUCUCCUGCAGCCCCUGAAAACCUCUUGACUCUUCUGUGAUGUCCCCAGUGAUCCAGCAGCCCCGGCCUUCUUUUGAUGGCUUGAACAUUUGGUCUUCAUUGAACAGUUUGUAUAUUGGAAACUUGCCAGCCUCCAUCCACAUUCCAACCUCCGUCUGCAUCCCUCGGUACAAAAUGGUUCAAUCUGUCUACCUCCUUUCACAUUCCACCAAGAUAUUCCAAGGUCCAGGGUUCCUUUGACCACCUCACACCUAACAAGUUCCCUCACUGUCUCUCACUCUCCCCUGAAGAUUCUAAGCUGCCUCUGUCCUGCUAAAACUGUAGACCUGAGAAUGAAGUAAGGUGCUUCAGGUGAGGUUUGAUCAGCCCAGAGCAGAAAGGGGCCACCUCCUCCCACCCUAUAAGACCCUAUUAGUGCACCUUGGAGCCCUUUGCUUGGCUGGUGGCUACAAUACACUUCUGUUAAUGACGGAAUUCCAUAACAUUUUUCCCCAUUAAUUUCUGCUACAAAACACAAAAGUCUUAGCCAGGUGUGGUGGUGCACACCUGUUGUCCCAGCUACUCAGGAGUCUGAGGUGAGAGGAUCACUGAGCCUGGGAGGCAGAGGUUACAGUGAGCCAAGAUGGCGCCGUUGUACUCCAAGCUGGGUGACAGAGGGAGACCCUGUCUCAAAAACAAAAAA